GGGACACGUGGUAUCCUGUCUGAAUAUGGGGGGACCAUCCUCCAAGGCUAAAUACUCCUGACUGACCGAUAGUGAACCAGUACCGUGAGGGAAAGGCGAAAAGAACCCCGGCGAGGGGAGUGAAAAAGAACCUGAAACCGUGUACGUACAAGCAGUGGGAGCACGCUUAGGCGUGUGACUGCGUACCUUUUGUAUAAUGGGUCAGCGACUUAUAUUCUGUAGCAAGGUUAACCGAAUAGGGGAGCCGAAGGGAAACCGAGUCUUAACUGGGCGUUAAGUUGCAGGGUAUAGACCCGAAACCCGGUGAUCUAGCCAUGGGCAGGUUGAAGGUUGGGUAACACUAACUGGAGGACCGAACCGACUAAUGUUGAAAAAUUAGCGGAUGACUUGUGGCUGGGGGUGAAAGGCCAAUCAAACCGGGAGAUAGCUGGUUCUCCCCGAAAGCUAUUUAGGUAGCGCCUCGUGAAUUCAUCUCCGGGGGUAGAGCACUGUUUCGGCAAGGGGGUCAUCCCGACUUACCAACCCGAUGCAAACUGCGAAUACCGGAGAAUGUUAUCACGGGAGACACACGGCGGGUGCUAACGUCCGUCGUGAAGAGGGAAACAACCCAGACCGCCAGCUAAGGUCCCAAAGUCAUGGUUAAGUGGGAAACGAUGUGGGAAGGCCCAGACAGCCAGGAUGUUGGCUUAGAAGCAGCCAUCAUUUAAAGAAAGCGUAAUAGCUCACUGGUCGAGUCGGCCUGCGCGGAAGAUGUAACGGGGCUAAACCAUGCACCGAAGCUGCGGCAGCGACGCUUAUGCGUUGUUGGGUAGGGGAGCGUUCUGUAAGCCUGUGAAGGUGUACUGUGAGGUAUGCUGGAGGUAUCAGAAGUGCGAAUGCUGACAUAAGUAACGAUAAAGCGGGUGAAAAGCCCGCUCGCCGGAAGACCAAGGGUUCCUGUCCAACGUUAAUCGGGGCAGGGUGAGUCGACCCCUAAGGCGAGGCCGAAAGGCGUAGUCGAUGGGAAACAGGUUAAUAUUCCUGUACUUGGUGUUACUGCGAAGGGGGGACGGAGAAGGCUAUGUUGGCCGGGCGACGGUUGUCCCGGUUUAAGCGUGUAGGCUGGUUUUCCAGGCAAAUCCGGAAAAUCAAGGCUGAGGCGUGAUGACGAGGCACUACGGUGCUGAAGCAACAAAUGCCCUGCUUCCAGGAAAAGCCUCUAAGCAUCAGGUAACAUCAAAUCGUACCCCAAACCGACACAGGUGGUCAGGUAGAGAAUACCAAGGCGCUUGAGAGAACUCGGGUGAAGGAACUAGGCAAAAUGGUGCCGUAACUUCGGGAGAAGGCACGCUGAUAUGUAGGUGAAGUCCCUCGCGGAUGGAGCUGAAAUCAGUCGAAGAUACCAGCUGGCUGCAACUGUUUAUUAAAAACACAGCACUGUGCAAACACGAAAGUGGACGUAUACGGUGUGACGCCUGCCCGGUGCCGGAAGGUUAAUUGAUGGGGUCAGCGCAAGCGAAGCUCUUGAUCGAAGCCCCGGUAAACGGCGGCCGUAACUAUAACGGUCCUAAGGUAGCGAAAUUCCUUGUCGGGUAAGUUCCGACCUGCACGAAUGGCGUAAUGAUGGCCAGGCUGUCUCCACCCGAGACUCAGUGAAAUUGAACUCGCUGUGAAGAUGCAGUGUACCCGCGGCAAGACGGAAAGACCCCGUGAACCUUUACUAUAGCUUGACACUGAACAUUGAGCCUUGAUGUGUAGGAUAGGUGGGAGGCUUUGAAGUGUGGACGCCAGUCUGCAUGGAGCCGACCUUGAAAUACCACCCUUUAAUGUUUGAUGUUCUAACGUUGACCCGUGAUCCGGGUUGCGGACAGUGUCUGGUGGGUAGUUUGACUGGGGCGGUCUCCUCCUAAAGAGUAACGGAGGAGCACGAAGGUUGGCUAAUCCUGGUCGGACAUCAGGAGGUUAGUGCAAUGGCAUAAGCCAGCUUGACUGCGAGCGUGACGGCGCGAGCAGGUGCGAAAGCAGGUCAUAGUGAUCCGGUGGUUCUGAAUGGAAGGGCCAUCGCUCAACGGAUAAAAGGUACUCCGGGGAUAACAGGCUGAUACCGCCCAAGAGUUCAUAUCGACGGCGGUGUUUGGCACCUCGAUGUCGGCUCAUCACAUCCUGGGGCUGAAGUAGGUCCCAAGGGUAUGGCUGUUCGCCAUUUAAAGUGGUACGCGAGCUGGGUUUAGAACGUCGUGAGACAGUUCGGUCCCUAUCUGCCGUGGGCGCUGGAGAACUGAGGGGGGCUGCUCCUAGUACGAGAGGACCGGAGUGGACGCAUCACUGGUGUUCGGGUUGUCAUGCCAAUGGCACUGCCCGGUAGCUAAAUGCGGAAGAGAUAAGUGCUGAAAGCAUCUAAGCACGAAACUUGCCCCGAGAUGAGUUCUCCCUGACUCCUUGAGAGUCCUGAAGGAACGUUGAAGACGACGACGUUGAUAGGCCGGGUGUGUAAGCGCAGCGAUGCGUUGAGCUAACCGGUACUAAUGAACCGUGAGGCUUAACCUUACAACGCCGAAG
rnacentral:rRNA from 1 species